rnacentral:rRNA from 1 species
AGCUCCAAUAGCGUAUAUUAAAGUUGUUGCAGUGAAAAAACUCGUGGUUUGAUUUCUGGUGAGAGGGAUCGGUCCAGCACACUGUGUUGGAACUAGAUCCUCUCCGGCCAUCCUUGGAUGGAUUUUGUCUGGCAUUAAGUUGUCAGUCAGGGGAUGCCCAUCGUUUACUGUGAAAAGUUAGAGUGUUCAAAGCAGGCUUAUGUCAUUGAAUAUAAUAGCAUUGAACGAUAAGAAAGGGCCCUGGUGCUAUUUUGUUGGUUUGCGUACCGAGGUAAUGAUUAAUGGGGACAGUUGGGGAUAUUUGUAUUCAGUAUUCAGUGGUGAGAUACUUAGACCUACGGAAGACAAACUACUGCGAAAGCAUUUACCAGGGAUGUUUUCA